UACGUAGGGUGCAAGCGUUGUCCGGAAUUAUUGGGCGUAAAGAGCUCGUAGGCGGUCUGUUGCGUCGGCUGUGAAAACCCGGGGCUCAACCCCGGGCCUGCAGCCGAUACGGGCAGACUAGAGUUCGGCAGGGGAGACUGGAAUUCCUGGUGUAGCGGUGAAAUGCGCAGAUAUCAGGAGGAACACCGGUGGCGAAGGCGGUGGUCUGGGCCGGCACUGACGCUGAGGAGCGAAAGCGUGGGGAGCAAACAGG
rnacentral:rRNA from 1 species